rnacentral:rRNA from 1 species
CCCUUAGAUGAUUUGGGCUGCACGCGCGCUACACUGACCCUAACAAUGAGCAACUGUCUGGCCUGAGAUGGCUGGGUAGCCUUUUCAACCCAUGUCAUGAUUGGGCUAGAUUUUUGUAAGUCUUGAUCUCUAACGAGGAAUCCCUAGUAUGCGUGAAUCAUCAAUCCAUGCAGAUUAUGUCCCUGCCCUUUGUACACACCGCCCGUCGCUCCUACUGAUUGGGUGAUCCGGUGAGCUGUUCGGCCAUAGCAAUGUUUCUUGAGCAGAGCAAUGAAUGUUUCGCAAACCUUGCCACUUAGAGGAAGGAGAAGUCGUAACA